ACUUUAGCAUUGAAAAGGACGAGUAAAUUAAACCCAGUAUUUAGAGAGGAAGCACAAAAGCUGGAAGUGCUUCUAUACAUGGAUAAUUGAAAACUACCUUGGAGCUGUUACUGAGUAGCGUAAAGUGAAAGGAUAACCGUUGACUACGUUAUCGUCCUUAAAGUGGAGUUAUCAAUUUAGGUGGAACCGCGGGAAUGUAUCUCUCGUCCUAUUC
rnacentral:ncRNA from 1 species